AGUGAACGCUGGCGGUAGGCCUAACACAUGCAAGUCGAACGGCAGCACAGUAAGAGCUUGCUCUUACGGGUGGCGAGUGGCGGACGGGUGAGGAAUACAUCGGAAUCUACUUUUUCGUGGGGGAUAACGUAGGGAAACUUACGCUAAUACCGCAUACGACCUACGGGUGAAAGCAGGGGAUCUUCGGACCUUGCGCGAUUGAAUGAGCCGAUGUCGGAUUAGCUAGUUGGCGGGGUAAAGGCCCAUCAAGGCGACGAUCCGUAGCUGGUCUGAGAGGAUGAUCAGCCACACUGGAACUGAGACACGGUCCAGACUCCUACGGGAGGCAGCAGUGGGGAAUAUUGGACAAUGGGCGCAAGCCUGAUCCAGCCAUACCGCGUGGGUGAAGAAGGCCUUCGGGUUGUAAAGCCCUUUUGUUGGGAAAGAAAAGCAGCAGGUUAAUACCCCGCUGUUCUGACGGUACCCAAAGAAUAAGCACCGGCUAACCUCGUG
rnacentral:rRNA from 1 species